rnacentral:misc_RNA from 1 species
GAACAAGUCCUCUUCCAUGGAACUUCUGUCAAGGGUAUUAGCAUUUACAUCAACUAAUCGUGCAUCAAUGAUAUUAUCCACGAAAAGACGAUACUUCCUCAUCAUGUUCCCAUAACCCCCUCCAGAGAAAUGACCCCCAACACUUAAGGUAGGGCAAACUCCAGCAAGAAAAGCAUUGACUUUGCUUGCUUUGCCAAUACCGUAGUAAAGUUCCCCGAAAGUUGCAGCAGCUUGAACCCAUGCUGUCUCAUUGGCAAUAUCU